rnacentral:rRNA from 1 species
GACGAACGCUGGCGGCGUGCUUAACACAUGCAAGUCGAACGAAGUGGCGAACGGGUGAGUAACGCGUAAUCAACCUGCCCUUCAGCGGGGGACAAAAGUUGGAAAAGACUGCUAAUACCGCAUACUGAAGGGGGGGAUAGCGUCUGAUUAGCUAGUUGGGGGGGGAACGGCCCACCAAGGCGAUGAUCAGUAGCCGGUCUGAGAGGAGGAACGGCCACAUUGGGACUGAGACACGGCCCAGACUCCUACGGGAGGCAGCAGUGGGGAAUCUUCCGCAAUGGACGAAAGUCUGACGGAGCAACUCCGCGUGAGUGAUGACGGCCUUCGGGUUGUAAAGCUCUGUUAAUCGGGACGCGGUACCGGAAUAGAAAGCCACGGCUAACUACGUGCCAGCAGCCGCGGUAAUUC